AAGGGAGAUGCAUUGGUGCUCAUAAAUUCAAGGAGCUGAAAUGGCAACAGCUGUGGCAAUUUCAGGAUUUCAGCAGGUAAUCAAAAGAAUUGGCAGAGAGAAAACAAAGUAAGGAAAUCAAAUAUAAAUUCCCAGUGCUCCUAAUAUCUCUUGGAAAGAAAAUGGACACCUCUGUUAACAAAGUUAUGAUGAUUUCUACCUCGGUACACAUUUUCGAACUUCUCAGAGAGGAACCAGCUCACCUAGCGGUCCUUUGAGAGCAUUAGCACUCACACCCCAUACAACUAGAACUCAUGACACUGGCAAAUGGUGUUUCUAGAGUGCUUUGCAUUGCCCGACAUGUUCUCACCCUGUUUUCUCCCCAAUCCUUACAAUUCUCCAAAUGCAAGUGCAAACUGGGGUGCUGUCAAGCAGCCUGGUGCUUAAAGGGCAGAGCCAGGAUGGACCCAGAUUCUGGUUUCCACCAUGUGCCUGAUGGAUACCAUGCGGAUGUGGAGCAGGAAACACUGGGUGCAAAUCCCCACCAGGAACUGUUCAUCCUGAAAAAAACCUGCUGCACAUUGCCCUGGUCACCUCAACGAAAAAUGGGUCAAAAUCAAAGUUGAUGAUCAGUCAUAUGAUCUUCAGCAGCCCUGGAAGGGUGUGAGUUCUCGGCAUCCCAUGCAGGAGCUCUGAAUGUACAAGAGGUGCUGAGGAGGGAGCAUGCGCCGAAUACCACUGCCUUCUUUCUGUGUCCAAGCAAGUUAUGACUGGAAUGGAAAGUAUAGCCACCCGGGGCUGUCAGUACCCCUACCUACUCAAUUGCAGACAUGUUGAUACAGAACAUGAUCAUCGAAUUCCAGUGAAGCCACAGUGAUGGGAGUCCAGCAAGAGUAAAAGCAAGUAGAAGGAAGAAGCCCAGAAAAACCAAAGCGCCUAAGGCCCAUGAAAGCUGUAAUGACUCCUUACCAUGAAGUUCUCUCUCCUGAUACCAUGUGGAGAAGAUCCUUACUUCCUCUUCACCUUCCACCAUGAUUGUGAGUUUCCUGAGGCCUUCCCAGCCAUGCGGAAC
rnacentral:lncRNA from 1 species